AUGAACGCUGGCGGCGUGCCUAAUACAUGCAAGUCGAGCGAACAGACGAGGAGCUUGCUUCUUCGACGUUAGCGGCGGACGGGUGAGUAACACGUAGGUAACCUACCUAUAAGACUGGGAUAACUUCGGGAAACCGGACCUAAUACCGGAUAAUAUUUCGAACCGCAUGGUUCGAUAGUGAAAGAUGGCUUUGCUAUCACUUAUAGAUGGACCUGCGCCGUAUUAGCUAGUUGGUAAGGUAACGGCUUACCAAGGCAACGAUACGUAGCCGACCUGAGAGGGUGAUCGGCCACACUGGAACUGAGACACGGUCCAGACUCCUACGGGAGGCAGCAGUAGGGAAUCUGCCGCAAUGGGCGAAAGCCUGACGGAGCAACGCCGCGUGAGUGAUGAAGGUCUUCGGAUCGUAAAACUCUGUUAUUAGGGAAGAACAAACGUGGAAGUAACUGUGCACGUCUUGACGGUACCUAAUCAGAAAGCCACGGCUAACUACGUG
rnacentral:rRNA from 1 species